UCUUGCAGACUGCAAAAAAGGAGAAAAAGAGACAACCAUCAACCAAAAAUAAAAAUGAAAAAAAUGGACAGUCUACCCUGAAGACAUUUCUUCCCUACUUUCUUUUCUACUUUCUUUUCUACUUUCUUUUCUACUUUCUUUUCU
rnacentral:ribozyme from 1 species